GGUGAACGCUGGCGGUAGGCCUAACACAUGCAAGUCGAACGGCAGCACUGGAGAGCUUGCUCUCUGGGUGGCGAGUGGCGGACGGGUGAGGAAUACAUCGGAAUCUACUCUGUCGUGGGGGAUAACGUAGGGAAACUUACGCUAAUACCGCAUACGACCUACGGGUGAAAGCAGGGGACCUUCGGGCCUUGCGCGAUUGAAUAAGCCGAUGUCGGAUCAGCUAGUUGGCGGGGUAAAGGCCCACCAAGGCGACGAUCCGUAGCUGGUCUGAGAGGAUGAUCAGCCACACUGGAACUGAGACACGGUCCAGACUCCUACGGGAGGCAGCAGUGGGGAAUAUUGGACAAUGGGCGCAAGCCUGAUCCAGCCAUACCGCGUGGGUGAAGAAGGCCUUCGGGUUGUAAAGCCCUUUUGUUGGGAAAGAAAUCCAGCUGGCUAAUACCCGGUUGGGAUGACGGUACCCAAGGAAUAAGCACCGGCUAACUUCGUGCCAGCCGCCGCCGUAA
rnacentral:rRNA from 1 species